GAGUUUGAUCCUGGCUCAGGAUGAACGCUAGCUACAGGCUUAACACAUGCAAGUCGCGGGGCAGCAUGGAUGUCCUUUCGGGGACAUCUGAUGGCGACCGGCGUACGGGUGAGUAACGCGUAUCCAACCUGCCCUUUACAACGGGACAGCCCGUCGAAAGGCGGAUUAAUACCGUAUGUUGUCAUGUUGAUGCAUAUUUUCAUGACCAAAGGCUUCGGCCGGUAAAGGAUGGGGAUGCGUCUGAUUAGCUUGCCGGCGGGGUAACGGCCCACCGGGGCGACGAUCAGUAGGGGUUCUGAGAGGAAGGUCCCCCACAUUGGAACUGAGACACGGUCCAAACUCCUACGGGAGGCAGCAGUGAGGAAUAUUGGUCAAUGGGCGCGAGCCUGAACCAGCCAAGUAGCGUGCAGGACGACGGCCCUAUGGGUUGUAAACUGCUUUUAUACGGGGAUAAAGUAUGCCACGUGUGGUUUAUUGCAGGUACCGUAUGAAUAAGGACCGGCUAAUUCCGUGCCAGCAGCCGCGGUAAUACGGAAGGUCCGGGCGUUAUCCGGAUUUAUUGGGUUUAAAGGGAGCGUAGGCCGGGUUUUAAGCGUGCCGUGAAAUGUCGGGGCUCAACCUUGACACUGCGGCGCGA
rnacentral:rRNA from 1 species